UACCAGCACACCGAGUGGUCGGGACGAUUAUUGGGCCUAAAGCAUCCGUAGCCGGUCCUGCAAGUCUUCCGUUAAAUCCAGCUGCUCAACAGAUGGGCUGCGGGGGAUACUACAGGGCUAGGAGGCGGGAGAGGCAAGCGGUACUUUAUGGGUAGGGGUAAAAUCCGUUGAUCCAUAGAAGACCACCAGUGGCGAAGGCGGCUUGCCAGAACGCGCUCGACGGUGAGGGAUGAAAGCUGGGGGAGCAAACCGG
rnacentral:rRNA from 1 species